rnacentral:miRNA from 1 species
UGAUAAAUAGGGGAGGGGGAGGGGACGGUAGGGGAGGGAGGAAGCAGGGAACAACAAAACAAAACAGGGAAUUUAUAGUUUAAGUUGUCCCUCUUCCCCCUCCCUUCCCUCUCGCCCCCUCCUCCCCCACCCUUCCCUCU